CGGCGUGCUUAACACAUGCAAGUCGAACGGAGGCAGGGAGCUUGCUCCUUGCUUUAGUGGCGCACGGGUGAGUAAUGCGUAGAUAAUCUACCUGAGGGUCCGGAAUAACAUCUCGAAAGGGGUGCUAAUACCGGAUAAGCCCACGGAGUCUUCGGACUUUGCGGGAAAAGGGGGGGACCUUCGGGCCUUCUGUCCUCAGAUGAGUCUACGUACCAUUAGCUAGUUGGUGGGGUAAAGGCCUACCAAGGCGACGAUGGUUAGCUGGUCUGAGAGGAUGAUCAGCCACACUGGAACUGAGACACGGUCCAAACUCCUACGGGAGGCAGCAGUGGGGAAUUUUGCGCAAUGGGGGAAACCCUGACGCAGCAACGCCGCGUGAGUGAUGAAGGCCUUCGGGUCGUAAAGCUCUGUCAGAGGGAAAGAAAUGUACGAGGGUUAAUACCCCUUGUACUUGACGGUACCCUCAAAGGAAGCACCGGCUAACUCCGUGCCAGCAGCCGCGGUAAUACGGAGGGUGCGAGCGUUGUUCGGAUUUAUUGGGCGUAAAGCGCGUGUAGGCGGCUUCUUAAGUCUGAUGUGAAAGCCCUGGGCUCAACCCGGGAAGUGCAUUGGAAACUGGGAAACUUGAAUACGGGAGAGGGUAGUGGAAUUCCUGGUGUAGGAGUGAAAUCCGUAGAUAUCAGGAGGAACACCGGUGGCGAAGGCGGCUACCUGGACCGUUAUUGACGCUGAGACGCGAAAGCGUGGGGAGCAAACAGGAUUAGAUACCCCGGUAGUCCACGCCGUAAACGAUGAGUACUAGGUGUUGCGGGUAUUGACCCCUGCAGUGCCGCAGCUAACGCAUUAAGUACUCCGCCUGGGAAGU
rnacentral:rRNA from 1 species